rnacentral:misc_RNA from 1 species
AAGACAAAGCUAAGGAGACACUGAAAUGGUGUAGUUUUAAGGUACAUGGGAGUUUGAGGAGGAUUUGCAAUAAACAAAUGCAAUACAAUGGGACCAGAGUCACCAGACUUUAUUCUUUAUGAGAUUUUAGACACUCAUAUCCAAAUAUCAGAAGUGCAGUCACCACCAGGAUACCUCAUUUCAUGAGCCAAAGAUGGACCAUCAGGUUCAGCUCCGAAAUCAACGAAAAAUCUUGGGUUAAUAGCAAGUCCACCUUUCUCACUGUCAACGUCGAUUUGUAACAUGUGACCUCCUUUCUCUAUCAUUUCGGGGUAGAAUUGACGGUCCCAUGUACUGAACAAUGAGUUUGUGACAUACAAACGUUUUCCGUCUAGACUCAGUUGUAUCAUCUGAGGCCCUCCUCUCAACCGAUGUCCCUGGACUUCUGGGACAUCAACCUGGUAUGUGGAACCAUCUUCAGCCUCAGCGAGUACAGCGUUUCCUUUUUGAAAUACUCCUCCAACAAAUACUUGGCCAGUUAACUUAGGAUUGGCAGGGUCCUCAAUAUUGUACUGUCGAAUGUCACCAUGUAGCCAGUUUGCCAGGUAUAGAAAACGAUCAUCGAGAGAGAUCAGAAAAUCAGUAAUAAGACCAGGCAUUUCAGGAAGAAUCCAGUUCUGCACUUUCACUGGUUUUACUGAGAUAGCUACCUCAUGUCCCCACGAGUCAUCUGGAUUCUUGAAAAAUCGCACCAUGUUACUGGUCAAAGCACAGCCCACAUACCCAAUUGCUUCAGAUGGAUUAUGCAAGAACCUUAUCUCUAGAGGAAGGAGCCCAGUGUUCCCAAGAUCCAAUGUCUGUUUAAGUUCACCACCGGGCCAUGUGUAGACAUGCAAAUGUCGACCAUAAUGCCCAUCAGCAACAUCCUGCAGGUUGAAACCUUUGGUGAAAGCAGAUGGAGCUCCCCAGGUGGAACUGAUCAUGGUGUUGUGUCGAGGCUGGUACCAGAAGUCAUAGCCAAAGAGGGGACCAUGACCUGGUUUCUCCCAUCUUCCUUUCACGUUGAAAUCUGAAUCGAGAAGAAGAAAUCCAUUCCCCUCAGCAUUUCCAUCUUUAUCUCCGAGACAUGACAACAUUAUCUCACCAGAAGCAAGGCAGUGAGCAGUGUGCGGGAAUGCUAAUCCUGUCUUCUUGACGACAUCAUCUGGCUGAACAACUUUAUACAAACUGGGAGCCUUUGGAUCCUUUUGUGUGUCAACUGCAUAAAUGCGUCCUGAUAUUAGUGAAGGCAGGACGAGAUAUCGUCGAGCAGCUGAUGGAUCUCCAUAACAAGAACUGCAGGAAUUCCAUCCAGAAUGAUGAAGUUCAUCACCCUCAUAAGGCAUAGGCAGCCUGUGGAUCACUUUUGAAUAAGAUGGUGAAUUAGGAUCUACAUCUACUGUAGCCAGAUAGUCGGGUUUGCCCCUUCCCAUUCCAGUAUAUAUGCAGGUGACAUAAAUUAAAGAUUCUUUAGGACCAUCCAUGGCUGCAAGUGGAGAAGCAUAACCAGGUCCUUUUUUGCAACACCCAUUAACCACCGCCACCGUCUCCUUCCCGUUCUGCUGCACCUCCAUAUCCGUCGCCAUUUUCUCGCCGGAAAAUCUGAAAUUUCAGAUCAGAAAUAGGCAAAAUAGUACUAAAAAAAACACCCUUUU